rnacentral:rRNA from 1 species
CAGUCGCCGCGGUAAUACAGAGGGUGCGAGCGUUAAUCGGAUUUACUGGGCGUAAAGCGUGCGUAGGCGGCUUCUUAAGUCGGAUGUGAAAUCCCUGAGCUUAACUUAGGAAUUGCAUUCGAUACUGGGAAGCUAGAGUAUGGGAGAGGAUGGUAGAAUUCCAGGUGUAGCUGUGAAAUGCGUAGAGAUCUGGAGGAAUACCGAUGGCGAAGGCAGCCAUCUGGCCUAAUACUGACGCUGAGGUACGAAAGCAUGGGGAGCAAACAGGAUUAGAUACCCCCGUAGUCCCUGUCUCUUAUAA